AGCUAACGCAUUAAGCACUCCGCCUGGGGAGUACGGUCGCAAGACUGAAACUCAAAGGAAUUGACGGGGGCCCGCACAACGGAGCAUGUGGUUUAAUUGAAGCAACGCGAAGAACCUUACCAGGUCUUGACAUCCUCUGACAAUCCUAGAGAUAGGACGUCCCCUUCGGGGGCAGAGUGACAGGUGGUGCAUGGUUGUCGUCAGCUCGUGUCGUGAGAUGUUGGGUUAAGUCCCGCAACGAGCGCAACCCUUGAUCUUAGUUGCCAGCAUUCAGUUGGGCACUCUAAGGUGACUGCCGGUGACAAACCGGAGGAAGGUGGGGAUGACGUCAAAUCAUCAUGCCCCUUAUGACCUGGGCUACACACGUGCUACAAUGGACAGAACAAAGGGCAGCGAAACCGCGAGGUUAAGCCAAUCCCACAAAUCUGUUUCGUUCGGAUCGCAGUCUGCAACUCGACUGCGUGAAGCUGGAAUCGCUAGUAAUGCAGAU
rnacentral:rRNA from 2 species